UGCAUCGGCCGGGAAUCGAACCCUGGCCGCCCGCGUGGCAGGCGAGCAUUCUACCACAGAACCACCGAUGC